AUGGCGGCACACUUGGUUGACAAUGUCAAAUUCAGUGUUAUGACAGGGAAGUAUGAGAUCAUUGACAUAGCUGAGGAUGAUCUGGUCACCUCCGCGAGAAAUUUCAUGUUCUUCUUUGAUGCCUGUCCAAGUGCAUUUGGUGGUUUCACUACCCUUGACCUAGAGAAUUUGAGAUUUGGGGAAUCAGACAUAUCCAACGUCCUCAUCACUUGCAAGUGCUUGAGGCAUCUGCGUUUGUUCAAUUGUGACUCUGGUGUUUGCAGCACGCUGCAAAUUGAACACGCUCGUCUCAAGGAGCUUAGUAUAGUCCAAUGUAUGGUUGAACGAGUUGAGCUGAGGUGGCUCCCUCAACUCACAACGAUGGUCUUUGAAGGUUGGCUACAAUUCCAAGAUCCACUGUUCAUUGGUCAUGUCCCAUUGCUGGAGGUUGUAAGCCUCACAAAUCUUGCCCUUCGUUACGACAAGACGGUGUUCUUAAGUGAGUUUCUUAGCGGUAGCUCUAUACGAGAUCUGAAGUUGGCAUUUAAUUCUGAAAAGAUUUGGGUGCAGCCAGAAUUUCCGACGCCAUGUCUAGCAUUUGUUUUCAGCCAACUAAGGUUUGUGAAUUUACUUCAUCUUCCUGAAGGGCAUGAUCUCACCUGGACAAUGUAUAUUCUUGAAGCUGCACCCUUACUGAAGGAGCUAUACAUGACGGUAUGGGAUCAUGCGUGCAAUAUGGAAAUGGACGAGACGAAGAGGAAAGAAGAAGCAUAUAGUGAGGACAAGGGUGUAGAGUGGGAAUUGGUCGCAGCAGAUUUCCAACACCACAGUUUGGUCACACUCGUCAUUUUUGGCUUUGAAUCUGAAGAUUGCUUUGUGAGUUAUGUGAGACGUGUUCUGGUGGCGGCCGUCAAUCUAGAGGAUGUCUUCUUGUAUAGCGGGUUGAAGUAUCGCAGUUGCCCGGACAAGAAGAAGCUUGUCAGGUACCCCUGGACUGAAUGGCAGAGGAUCUCCCUGAAUGAGAGACUCACCGCUGGGAUCGAGUCGGGUGCCAUAUUGCACUAUGGUGAGAUGAGGCCUGGUCAUCUAGCAAAAAUGGAGCACCCAAAGUGCUCAAUGCUCAAGGCAAAAAGGGGUUUUGCGUGA
rnacentral:rRNA from 1 species